AAAGAAACCAACAGGGAUUGCCUUAGUAGCGGCGAGUGAAGCGGCAAAAGCUCAAAUUUGAAAUCUGGCACUUUCAGUGUCCGAGUUGUAAUUUGAAGAAGGUAUCUUUGGGUCUGGCUCUUGUCUAGUUUCUUGGAACAGAACGUCACAGAGGGUGAGAAUCCCGUGCGAUGAGAUGUCCCAGACCUAUGUAAAGUUCCUUCGAAGAGUCGAGUUGUUUGGGAAUGCAGCUCUAAGUGGGUGGUAAAUUCCAUCUAAAGCUAAAUAUUGGCGAGAGACCGAUAGCGAACAAGUACAGUGAUGGAAAGAUGAAAAGAACUUUGAAAAGAGAGUGAAAAAGUACGUGAAAUUGUUGAAAGGGAAGGGCUUGAGAUCAGACUUGGUAUUUUGUAUGUUACUCUCUCGGGGGUGGCCUCUACAGUUUACCGGGCCAGCAUCAGUUUGAGCGGUAGGAUAAGUGCAAAGAAAUGUGGCACUGCUUCGGUAGUGUGUUAUAGUCUUUGUCGAUACUGCCAGCUUAGACUGAGGACUGCGGCUUCGGCCUAGGAUGUUGGCAUAAU
rnacentral:rRNA from 1 species